UACGAAGGGGGGCUAGCGUUGUUCGGAAUUACUGGGCGUAAAGCGCACGUAGGCGGAUAUUUAAGUCAGGGGUGAAAUCCCAGAGCUCAACUCUGGAACUGCCUUUGAUACUGGGUAUCUCGAGUAUGGAAGAGGUGAGUGGAAUUCCGAGUGUAGAGGUGAAAUUCGUAGAUAUUCGGAGGAACACCAGUGGCGAAGGCGGCUCACUGGUCCGAUUACUGACGCUUGGAGGUGCGAAAGCGUGGGGAGCAAACAGG
rnacentral:rRNA from 1 species